rnacentral:rRNA from 1 species
AUGAGGUUUCGCAACAAAGGUCUUAUUGCAGGAAAUCAGAGUAGAGCAGAUCUUGCAACAAGAGCUCGAGUAAUUGCAACAAGCAGACUAUUGCAGAAAACACCACUCUUGUUGCAAAGGGUGGCUGCUUACGUUACAUUGGUAGAUCGGACGAUUGUCAUUGAAGAGAUCCUAGUCCGGUUGCCCCCAAAGGACGUCCUUCGCUGCCGCGCUGUCCGCAAGCUGUGGCACAGUGCCACCUCCACCAACAAGUUCGUGCUCGACAAUCAUUGCCGCCAGCCCUCGCUCCCUGUCAUCAGACAGUGUAUCCCUGGGCGGGAAGGAGUCGGGUUCGUUGUCUUCCGUGACAAUGGUGCCAUGGCCUCCAAUCAAAAGCUCUCACCAAUCAUUCGACACUCUAAGUUAAUUAAACUCAUGGGUGCCUGUGAUGGCCUUCUUAUCUUGUCCAGCGGAUCUUAUUUCUGGAUCUGCAACCCAGCCACUCGCAAAUGUGCUCCACUACCACAACCCCGAGUUCAAUCUUCAUCGCCAUGGGGUUCCGACUUCUACAUAGCCGGAUUCUACCGGCACCAACCAUCUGGGGAAUACCGGGUGCUCUGGUUCUCAUAUGUCUGCCACCGUGGCUACGUUCUCACGGUAGGAUCUGACAAGCCGAGAAGCAUCAGUCGGCCGUCAGUGUCAUCGCGUUUGCCAAGAUAUAGUUGUCAAGAUGCUUUUGAUUCCUGCUAUAGUUCACAACUCAAUCACCGCGGCAACCUGCACUGGUUAACAGGAAUCUACAUGGAGACUCCUGUGGGCAUUAUGGUGUUCGACACAGUAACUGAGACGUUCCGGUGGAUGCGCAGUCCUGACCAGCUGGGCUGUCGUUUGUCGUUGUUGGAGAUGGACGACAAGCUUGCUUCAUGCAGCAGCAGUAAUGCUACCAUAGAGAUUUGGGUUAUGCAAGACUAUGAUGCUGAGGACUGGGCCUUGAAGUACCGGAUUAACUUGUUAGCGAUGAAGACGUCACCACAGUUUGGUUUAAGUGUGAGAUUUAUUUCUAAGAUGGCGCUGCUUAACCAGCGUGAGCUGCUGACCUGUUCGUGUACUGGCCCACAGGGUCCUGACUUUCUGUUGCAUUGUGACAUCGAUGGAAUGUUUUUGGGUUAUGUCGAAAUCAAAGAGGCCAAGCAUCCAGUAUACUUCACUAAUCAGUACAUCCAGGAGAGCCUGAUUCCACUUCCGUUCAGUGAGAUGCAAGAAGAAAGAUUUGUGUAUACGGAGCCUCCAUUGUCCGUAGGGCUAUAA